UCAAACUCCUCCUCCUCCUCCUCCUCCUCCUGCUUUCACUCGUUUUUUUCCGAGGCUCAACAGAAAACACAUGCAGUUGAAGACGGAGCAGAGCUUAAAAAAACCCACUGGGGUUCAUUCAGGCCAAGAAAAUGUUCCACGUAUUCUUAAAGUCCGUGCCAGAGAGUCAGGCACGGAAGAGAGAGAGAGAGAGAGAGAGAGAGAGAGAGAGAGAGAGAGAGAGAGAGAGAGAGAAUCCUAGAGUAUGAGAGAGGAUGGAGGGAGGGUGAAAAUUAAAGUAAGAGAGCGAUACCUUGAGAGCGAUAGAAAGAGCGAGGAGGGAGGGAGACUUAAAGAGAGGUUUCGAGACUCAGAGGGAGUGAGAGAGGGAGCAGAAAAUAUCGGUCCUCACAUUUGCUAUCAAUUUAUAGCGGCAGAGACGUAGCGCGAAGGGCAGACAUUUUGUUAAGUUCCUCACUGGAACAGUGGCGGCGUGUCGUGGUGGUCUGCGCUGCUGGGAGCGAGGGAGAGAGGGAGCCAGUCAGUCAUACAGAGAUGGAUGUAUGUGAAGACAGAGGAGAGCAGAUGUAGCAGAGAGGGCAGCUGGCGUCCAGGUGGAAAUGCGUCCUCCUGCGACGUGGCGCGCCGGAGCGGAGGCGAUGCUGCUGGUCAGAGGUGACCCAUGUGGACGAUGUGGUCGGGAGCCUCCACAUGUUGGGGGCGGGGUUUACUGUGCGUGAGGGUCAUGAGGUUGAUGCUCGAGACAGUACAGUGAAAGGUCAUUAAGGAGCAGGUAGGGGUUAGACAGUACAGAGACAGGUCAUUAAGGAGCAGGUAGGGGUUAGACAGUACAGAGACAGGUCAUUAAGGAGCAGGUAGGGUUAGACAGUACAGAGACAGGUCAUUAAGGAGCAGGUAGGGGUUAGACAGUACAGAGACAGGUCAUUAAGGAGCAGGUAGGGGUUAGACAGUACAGAGACAGGUCGAUGAGGAGCAGGUAGGGGUUAGACAGUACAGAGACAGGUCAUUAAGGAGCAGGUAGGGGAUGACAGUACAGAGACAGGUCAUUAAGGAGCAGGUAGGGGUUAGACAGUACAGAGACAGGUCGAUGAGGAGCAGGUAGGGGUUAGACAGUACAGAGACAGGUCAUUAAGGAGCAGGUAGGGGUUAGACAGUACAUAGACAGGUCAUUAAGGAGCAGGUAGGGGUUAGACAGUACAGAGACAGGUCGAUGAGGAGCAAGGUAGGGGUUAGACAGUACAGAGACAGGUCAUUAAGGAGCAGGUAGGGGAUGGACAGUACAGAGACAGGUCGAUGAGGAGGAGGUAGGGGUUAGACAGUACAGAGACAGGUCGAUGAGGAGGAGGUAGGGUUAAUAGAUGUAGAACACAUGGACAUCAGAGAUUGAAUUCUGCGCUGGAGGCCAACCCUUAGACUCUCCACAUGCUAAUAGUAGCUAGGAUGAGCUCCAGAUGUAGGCGGGCGAGACCUCUUGGCUGCCCGUGUCUGAGUGGCUGUCGCUAGGGCCAAGAAAACAGAAUCAGAGCCCUGACAACCAGAAGGGGGUAGAUCAAGGGGCCGCUUAUCAAUGAGAACGAUCGAUAAUCGAUGCCUCGGCAGUCCUAUCUCCGAGACGUGAGCCCUGUUUUCCACGGUCCGCCCCGGAGGUUUCUCCUGGGCCUCCCGGGUUGUGGUUAAUGGAUCGGCGCAGCCCGACUCUGCGUGUGAAGGAAUGUGUUUGGACAGAACCGCAGGACGCUAACGGAGGAUGACUAGCGAGGGUUCUGCCGUGCUGGGUGGGUGGGGGGGGGCGGGGGGCUGGGGGAGGAAGAACAAUAGAUGUACUGUGUUUGUUGAAAGAGAUUUAUGGCGUCUAUUAUAUCGUUUACCAGCUCUGACCCCCCCCCCCCCCCCCCCCCCCCCCCCCCCCGACAUAUACUAUACAUGGGUCCGCACUACUGUUUACGCUGCAGCCGUAACGCACACAUGUUUCUAUCCAAAAGGACCUACUUUGUGAAUUAGUUUCUUAGAUAGGAUCCGUGUCGUGAAGGAGCAGGUGGGGGUAAGGGGUUGUCUUGCGGUAGGAGGCCUACAGGUAGACUGUGGACAUUGGGGUUCAUAUAAGCAGCUGUAAGCAGCCAUCAGAACUGCCCUAAUACCUCACGAGUGGACAGGAAAGGGAAGGGGUGGGCAGUGUCGCACAAGACUGUGUCGCCUUCAGGCGCUGGGCUGGCUGUUCACCAUUCACACACAGGUCUCUCAGGCGACAGAGCAGGUCAGGAAGCUUGUUAGCCUUAAGAGCUCAACUUGUUAGCGCGGGUACUUAGCUCGCUAACAAAGACCCCCCUAACACACACACACACACACACACACACACACACACACACACACACACACACACAGAGAAACACACACACACACACACACACAGGGAAACACACACACACACACACACACACACACACACACACACACACACACACACACACA